UGAUUAAUGUCUGGGGAUCUGCCUGAUGGAGGGGGAUAACUACUGGAAACGGUAGCUAAUACCGCAUAACGUCGCAAGACCAAAGAGGGGGACCUUCGGGCCUCUUGCCAUCAGAUGAACCCAGAUGGGAUUAGCUAGUAGGUGGGGUAACGGCUCACCUAGGCGACGAUCCCUAGCUGGUCUGAGAGGAUGACCAGCCACACUGGAACUGAGACACGGUCCAGACUCCUACGGGAGGCAGCAGUGGGGAAUAUUGCACAAUGGGCGCAAGCCUGAUGCAGCCAUGCCGCGUGUAUGAAGAAGGCCUUCGGGUUGUAAAGUACUUUCAGCGAGGAGGAAGGCGGUAAGGUUAAUAACCUUAUCGAUUGACGUUACUCGCAUAAGAAGCACCGGCUAACUCCGUGCCAGCAGCCGCGGUAAUACGGAGGGUGCAAGCGUUAAUCGGAAUUACUGGGCGUAAAGCGCACGCAGGCGGUCUGUCAA
rnacentral:rRNA from 2 species